CUACGUGCAAUUUAUGUAUAGUUGACCGGGAAAUUAAAGCAGCGAUCACUUGGACUAUUCCGCAGCACCCCUCUCACAUUGGUACACCCCCCCCCCCCCCUCCCCCGGUAUUCAUUGUCUUCUACAGUAGAGCGGGACAUUUAAUUUACUCUCAGCGGAAUUGACCGGAGAAGGCAUCAGUUCAUGCACUGCACUGGCCUGCACCACGAUUAGUAUAAGGCACAUUUCACGAAGCAGAACGCAGUCUUCAGAGAUAUCCAUGUGAACGCUGUGAUACGUCUGACCUUCAGUCCGAAGAAGAAACCCAGACCAGUCUUAAAAGAAAGCACAAACCAAAUCCCCUGUACACAUAUACGGACUCAGAGGAUGAGCAGCCUACAAAAAAACGGUUUCCCCAGGCCCCUCGAGUGA